UGUAAACAUCCUUGACUGGAAGCUGUAAAGUUCUGUAAAGAGCUUUUAGUCAGAUGUUUACAGC
rnacentral:pre_miRNA from 1 species